rnacentral:lncRNA from 1 species
ACGAUCAUGGGGUGGAACAACCUUUGAAGGUAGAAGAGGGUCAAAAGUCUGAACUCGAAGUUGAAGGUCCCGCAGUGGACAAUGUUGGUGGAAUCAGGCGAUUCACCAGGAGUGGCAGACUAUUCUCGCCACCCGUUACCCAAACUGAGAGCACUGAUGUCGCGGUUAAGGCCAAAGGCAAACAAGUUGUAAAUGAGGGCACUUCUG